rnacentral:rRNA from 1 species
CUUCAUUCUCUAAGUCUCUAAGUGCUGAAGGGAAAUGUGGCGCUCGGCCACUUAUUGAAGAUGGCCGAGACCCUAAUGGACCUCGGCGUGGGCCGUGUCACGUGGCCCGGUAGAUCCGUCGAUGGUGCGCGCCGUGGUCUCGUGUCCGGCGUCAUGGGCCAUCUUGUCCGGCCCGGUGUGAGCGGUCAAGGUGAACGCCAUGGUCGUCGUCCCAGCGUGUGCGGUGUCCUACCCAGCGUGUGCGGUCAAGCUCGUAUGUCCCGCGGCAUGGGCCGCCAUGUCCGGCCCAGUGUAUGCGGUCAAGGUCGAGGCGUGUGCGGUCAAGGUCGCUAGCCCCGCGUCAUGGGCCGCCAUGUCCGGCCAGGCGUGGUCGGUCACGUUCGUGUCCAGCCAUGUGAUGGACGUCUUGGGCCUUUCUUGGUCGUUCUCCGUGGGUGACUCCGAGGUUAUGUUUCCUACAAAAUAAUCAACUAAGUUAGCAUAAAACACUCAGCCCAAUGGGGAGGAGUCCCAUUGUACAUCAGGCACAUCAAGCAGGGCGAAGCCAGAGGAAACUCUGGUGGAGGUUCGCAGCGAUACUGAUGUGCAAAUCGUUCGUCUUACUUGGGUAUAGGGGCGAAAGACUAAUCAAACUGUCUAGUAGCUGCUUCCCUCUGAAGUUUCCCUUAGGAUAGCUGGAGCCCAUGGGCAAGUUCUCUCGGGUAAAGCCAAUGAUUAGAGGCAUCGGGGGCACAACGCCCUCGACCUAUUCUCAAACUUUAAAUAGGUAGGACGGCACAACUGCUUUGUUGAGCCGUGCCACGGAAUCGAGAGCUCCAAGUGGGCCAUUUUUGGUAAGCAGAACUAGCGAUGCGGGACAAACCAAAAGACGGGUUACGGUGCCCAACAACACACUAACCUAGUACCCACAAAGGGUGUUGGUCGAUUAAGACAGCAUAACGGUGGUCAUGGAAGUCGAAAUCCACUAAGGAGUGUGUAACAAAUCCCCUGCCGAAUCAACUAGCCCCUACAAUGGAUGGCGCUGAAGCGCGCAACCUAUACACGGCCAUCGGGGCAAGUAUCAGGCUCUGAUGAGUAGGAGGGAGCGGCGGUUGCCGCAAAACCUGGGGCGAGAGCCCGGGCGGAGCGGCCGUUGGUGCAAAUCUUGGUGGUAGUAGCAAAUAUUCAAAUGAGAACUUUGAAGGCCGAAGAGGGGAAAUGUUCUAUGUAAACAGCACUUGCACAUGGGUUAGUCGAUCCUAAAAGACAGGGCAAUCUCGUCUGACAGCGCCCAGCACGAGAGCAUCGAAAGGGAAUCAGGUUAAAAUUCCUGAACCAGGACGUGGCGGCUGAUGGCAACGUUAGGGAGUCCGGAGACAUCGUCGGGGACCUCGAGAAGAGUUAUCUUUUCUGUUUAGCAGCCUGCCCAUCGUGGAAACGACUGAGCCGGAGGUAGGGUCCUGCGGCUGGAAGAGCACCACACGUCGUGCGGUGUUCGGUACAUCCUCGACGGCCCUUGAAAAUUUGGAGGACCGAGUGCCUCCCACGCCUGGUCGUACUCAUAACCGCAUCAGGUCUCCAAGGUGAACAACCUUUGGUCGGAUGAACAAUGUAGGCAAGGGAAGUUGACAAAAUGGAUCCGUAACCUCGGGAAAAGGAUUGGCUCUGAGGGCUGGGCAUGGCGGUCCAUGUCUCAAAUUCGUCGGUUGUCGAUGGACUACUCGAGCUGCUCUCUCGGUGAGAGCUGGUCGUCGCAUGUCGGCCGGGGGACAGACUGGGAACGGCUCCUUCAGGGGGCUUCCCCGAGCAUCAAAAAAUUGACUCAGAACUGGUACAGACAAGGGGAAUCCGACUGUUUAAUUAAAAAAAAGCAUUGCGAUGGUCCUUGCGGAUGCUGACGCAAUGUGAUUUCUGCCCAGUGCAAUGAAUGUCAAAGUGAAGAAAUUCAACCAAGCGCGUGUAAACGGCGGGAGUAACUAUGACUCUCUUAAGGUAGCCAAAUGCCUCGUCAUCUAGUUAGUGACACGCAUGAAUGGAUUAACGAGAUUCCCACUAACCCUGUCUACUAUCCAUCGAAACAACAGACAAGGGAACGGGCUUGGCAGAAUCAGCGGGGAAAGAGGACCUUGUUGAGCUUGACUGUAGUCCGACUCUAUGAAAUGACUUGAGAGGUGUAGGAUAUGUGGGAGCCAGAAAUGGCAAAAUUGAAAUAACACUACUUUUAACGUUAUUUUACUUAUUCCAUGAAUCGGAAGCGGGGCAACGCCCCUCUUUUUGGACCCAAGGCCCACCUCAACGGGUCGAUCCGUGCAGAAGAUAUUCUCAGGUCAGGAGUUUGGCUGGGGCAGCACAUCUGUUAAAAGAUAGAGGUGUCAGAAAAGUUACCACAGGGAUUACUGGCUUGUGGCAGCCAAGCGUUCAUAGUGAAGUUGCUUUUUGAUCCUUCGAUGUCGGCUCUUCCUAUCAUUGUGAAGCAGAAUUCACCAAGUGUUGGAUUGUUCACCCACCAAUAGGGAACUUGAGCUGGGUUUAGACAGUCGUGAGAUGGGUUAGUUUUACCCUACUGACGACAGUGUCGCAAUAGUAAUUCAACCUAGUAUGAGAGGAACCAUUGAUUCGCACAAUUGGUCAUCGCGCUUGGUUAAAAAGCCAGUGGUGCAAAGCUACCGUGCACUGGAUUAUGACUGAACGCCUCUAAGUCAGAAUCUUGGCUAGAAGCAACGCACGCACCUGCCGCCUAAUCGCCGACCAGCAGUAGGGCACAAGUCGUUGGCCAAGCCCUCGCAACCGAGCCGUUGAGCAGGCCACCUUGAAGUGUUAUUUCAACCGAGC